UACGAAGGGGACUAGCGUUGUUCGGAAUUACUGGGCGUAAAGCGCACGUAGGCGGAUUUGUAAGUCAGGGGUGAAAUCCCGGGGCUCAACCUCGGAACUGCCUUUGAUACUGCAAAUCUCGAGUCCGAUAGAGGUGGGUGGAAUUCCUAGUGUAGAGGUGAAAUUCGUAGAUAUUAGGAAGAACACCGGUGGCGAAGGCGGCUCACUGGCCCGAUACUGACGCUGAGGCACGAAGGCCAGGGGAGCAAACGGG
rnacentral:rRNA from 1 species